rnacentral:rRNA from 1 species
AUUGAACGCUGGCGGCAUGCUUUACACAUGCAGGUCGAACGGUAACAGGGAGCUUGCUCCGCUGACGAGUGGCGAACGGGUGAGUAAUAUAUCGGAACGUACCCAAGAGUGGGGGAUAACGUAGCGAAAGUUACGCUAAUACCGCAUACGAUCCAAGGAUGAAAGCAGGGGAUCUUCGGACCUUGUGCUCCUGGAGCGGCCGAUAUCUGAUUAGCUAGUUGGUGAGGUAAAGGCUCACCAAGGCGACGAUCAGUAGCGGGUCGGAGAGGACGACCAGCCACAAUGGGACUGAGACACGGUCCAGACGCAUACGGGAGGCAGAAGUGGGGAAUUUUGGACAAUGGGCGCAAGCCUGAUCCAGCAAUGCCGCGUGAGUGAAGAAGGCCUUCGGGUUGUAAAGCUCUUUUGUCAGGGAAGAAACGGGAGUGGCUAAUAUCCAUUCCUAAUGACGGUACCUGAAGAAUAAGCACCGGCUAACUACGUGCCAGCAGCCGCCGUAAAAC